CAAAGUGCUUACAGUGCAGGUAGUGGUAUGUAGAAUCUACUGCAGUGAAGGCACUUGUAGC
rnacentral:pre_miRNA from 1 species